rnacentral:tRNA from 1 species
GCGGAAGUAGCUCAGCUGAUAGAGCAUUAGCCUUCCAAGCUGAGGGUCGCGGGUUUGAGCCCCGUCUUCCGCUCUA